CUUAAUAUUAAUGAUUUCAGUGUUAGCUUUCUGCUAUAGGUUUACCGUAGAUAUUUAUAAUAAUGCUGACGGAAUACUAGUUGACAGAAUGCCUAUGCUUGUUAUUCAAUUACUGGAAGGUUAAUUAUACGCUGCAUUACAAAUGUUAAAUAUAAUUUUAAGCUAUUCAAAAAUGAAUAACUACUGCUUCUUUUAAAGUUCUUGAGUUUUAUAGCAGAGACACAAGCUGCAAGUGCACGUGUUUCAAACGAUCCAUCCACGCAGUUGUACAAUGGUUGCGAAAAUGGGUAUUGGGGACAGAACUGUAAUAUUUAAAAUGUCAAUCCCCUAAAUGUGCACGAUGUGUAAGCACAAAUGGAACAAACUGCUACACGUGUCACAGAGGCUGUAAUGGUAACACUUGUAAAUAUUUUUUGUAGAAUUCAUUGUAACAUUUGUGAUAAAAACAACGUCAACACAUGUGAUGAAGAAUGUCGAAAGUAGUGUGAUCAGUGCACUUCACGCGUAAUAGGGUACGGGGCAAAAUUAUGCGAAAAAACGUGUAUAACACAAUAUAAACGCUGCAAACGAUGGCGUCGACGUGCAAAAUACAAAAAUGGAUAUCAUGGGCUUAGACAUCAGAAUGACUGCAACUAUGCUUGUGAUAUCUGUGAUAAGGAAAAUGGCUGCAGACGAUGCAAAUAUGGUUACUAUCGAAUGAAUGGAACUUGUUAUUCAUGUCCAUAUAACUGUAAAUCGUGCGCAAAUUCUACCCUGUGCAAUUCAUGUAAGGGCGGUCGAUUUAGAAGCCGUAAAUUUGGAAACGUUUGUCAGUACCAGUGUAAGCAAUAUUGCAUAAGAGGCACUUGCAAUUCUUCGAAUUCUGUUUGCCAAUGCAGUCAAUAUUAUACUGGGGAGAAAUGUGAACAGUGUAUCACAGGCUACUAUGGCACCAACUGCAAACAUAUAUGUUCGCAAGGAUGCUCUAAAGCGUGUUCCCAAACUGAUGGAUUAUGUUCAUGCAAACCUGGUUGGACGGGAGAUAUGUGUAAUAGAUGUGACGACUUUUAUGAUGGAGAAACAUGUGAGCUUUGUAGACCUGGGCUUUAUGGCUCUGGUUGUGAACAAAGAUGUGGAAGAGGCUGCAUAAAUGACAUAUGCAAUAUAUCCUCAGGGUAUUGUCAAUGCAAAUAUGAACAUUUUGUGACACACACACCAAGCACUGAUCCCUCUGUGUACUGCAAUGAUUGUUUAUAUGGCAGAUAUGGUGAAAGAUGCGAAAACAGGUGCCGGAAGAAGUGUUACAGAUGCCAAAACAAGUCAAGUUGUAUUUUAUGUAAAGACGGAUACUUUGGGGAAGCUUGUUAAAUGCAAUGUUCAGACGGUUGCAAAAGUGGAACAUGCGAAAGGGUUGAUGGUUCAUGUUUCUCUUUAUGCAAACCUGGUUAUUUUGGAAAACAAUGUAACGUAACUUGUCCGGAAUCCUGCCAAUCAUGUUUAAAUUCUUUAAAAGGCAUCACUUGCAAAACUUGACGAAACGGUUAUUAUUCUCAUGGUAUUGGCCGGUGUACCGAAUGUAAUUCCAAAUGCUUCAGCCAGAAAUGCAAUGCAGGUGUUUAUGGGGCUGUAUAGAGGAUACUGGAACAUGACCUGUGAGAGCAAGUGUAUACCAGAAUGCCUCACUUGCAGUCAGAACGAUGGAAUGUGCAUCAAAUGCAAGAACGGUUCCAAAUAUGGACCUCAUUGCAGUUUGGAUUGUAAAAAGACAUGCAAUAACUCAGAGUGUGACAUACAAGGGGAUUGUAAAAAGACAUGCAAUAACUCAGAGUGUGACAUACAAGGGGAUUGUAAAAAGACAUGCAAUAACUCAGAGUGUGACAUACAAGGGGAUUGUACAAAUGGAUGCCUUACAAAUUCAUUCGGCAAGCAAUGUGACAACGUGUGUGAUAGUCAUUGUAUAUCGAAGGGUAACGCCACUUUGUGCUCUGAACACACGGGAAUGUGUUUAUACGGCUGUGUUGCUGAAUACCGAGGAUAGUUUUGUCCACCGGGUAAUGCGUGAACUAUAUAAUACGUUACAUCUGUAUUAGUAUAAUGAAUAAUAUAGGGACAUGCAAAGUUGUCAAUCAAUCAAGAAAACGUCCUAUUUGAGGUACAAGGUAAGGGCCUGAACGACACUAAACGGGGGACACGAACGUACAAAUAAAACACACAAGCAUUUGUAACCUCUGAGAGGUAAAUUUAUGAAACGAAUACAUGUCUUAGUUAGAAAAUACUUUUUGUUAGAAUUAAAAUACAGACAUGUUUUACUCUAGCCGUUUCUAAAGAUAAUAAUGAUUAACAUUAGUUUAUACUAGCUGAUGCAUAAAUACUAAAUUAAUACGUUUCUCAUUUGAGAUAUGGCGAUUCAAGACAUUGUGAAUAAAGAGAAUAACACGACAACAUUGGCAGCAGCACUUGGAGGAGGCAUUGGAGGUGGCAUUGCGGGACUUAUCAUUGUUUCGAUGCUGGGAUUUGUUUGGCUUCGAAGAAGGCGACUGUUCCGCAUUGAACGAAAUGAACUACAUUUAGACGCCCCUAUGAGUGAAGACCAAAUGAAUUAUGAAACAGUAGAUAAAAAUCUUCGAGAUAUUGAACUCAACAAUCUUACGUAUGGGAAUCUUCGUGUUUCGGAUGUUCAAACGAUUCACUCAACAUCUGAUUAUGUAAACGUGUCAAAAGCGAAAAGGGACAUCAGAUACGUAAUAUAUAGAUUCACCAUACGUUGAACUUGGACUGAUGCUAUAUAAUGGCACUUUUUUAUUGCUUUAAAGGGGAAUGGAAACUGUCAAAUCAAAAUAUAAUUAUUGACAACAAUAUUAUGGACUAGAUUUCAGAAGAUAAAGUUAAAAGCAUAUAUAAAUAAGGAACUGAAUACCAUUUUUAAAACACUGUAUUCUAUGAACUGCUUUAUAACGUAUGACAAUUCAUCAUCCAUGUAUUUCAACAAAAAAGAUAUAAAUCGGAACACACUCAGGCCAACACCUUAUGAUGCAUAUAAACCGCAAGAAGCGGAAAUAUUGGCAGGUGUGAGGGUGAGUGCACGGUAGCCUGCUUAAUUUUCGAAUGUGGUCAUGCUAAUUUUAUUUCAGGAAAAUUUGAAGCUCGGACCAUAGCUAUAAACUGACAUCUAUAAUGGAGUGUGUGUGCGAUGACCUAGACCAUUAUGGCACCUUUAACAGCAUCGUUCGUAAUACUGAUGGCAGCUGUGAUGUAAAAGGCUGAUAAAAGAAGUAGAACAGAUACACAACGUAUUGAUUUCAGACAUUCGAAAGUCAUAGCAAAUGCAUUAUGGUCAUAAGCUGUUUUUCGUACAUGUUCUAUUAUCCCAUGUCUUCUAGUGCUCAUUUUGACAACUUUGUCAUUUGGAAAUGUUUUGAGGUGUGUGAUAUUCUUUGAAUUUAACUCGAUACUUAUUUCAUGAAGGAUUAUUUUAUAUAUGUUUUAUUGUGAUGUUUCGCGCCUUUCAUUAAGUGUAAACCAAUAACCAUAUGCUUCUUAACACUGGAUUCUGGUCUUUCCCAUAUUAAAAUAGGUUGAUAUGUUUGCACUUUUUGAAAUUUAAGCCCGCUAUCACUUCCGAAUUGAUCGUCAGCGCGCACAGGGAUUGGAGCCAAUAUUAACGAAGUCAUUUCAGAUAUGCCGUUACGUUUACGCUAUUAAGCCCGCUAUCACUUCCGAAUUGAUCGUCAGCGCGCACAGGGAUUGGAGCCAAUAUUAACGAAGUCAUUUCAGAUAUGCCGUUACGUUUACAUAGAUAAGUAAAUAUUUCACUCGUUUUCAUGCAAACCGAGAAACAUAGCUUUUGCUUCUCAGUCUGUGAAACAUAUUACGAUCUUUCCCUGAAAUCAACAAUUAUCCCCUAUAGUCUGCAGUGGAAAUAUUAAGUGGAUAUUUAAACUGCUUGCACAUAAUUUUGUUUCAUUAUUUUAAUAAAGAUGUUUUAGUGUCCACUGUGUCGGGUUGAACAUGUUUGAAAUGAGGGCACUGAAAUGGUGUCAACACGUUUUAUUUAUCACGCGAUUUUUCAAUAAACUCCACUUAUACUAACAUUUUAGAAAUGUUGGUCUUUAAGAAACCGACAAUUUGUUAAACUUCGUCAAUAGAUAGAACUCUCACGCUGAUCAUAGAAAAUUAUAUCAGAUAAAAUCAUCUACUUAACAUCACAGUAAAUAUUUAACGAGUGGCUAAAUAAAGCUUUUAGUGGUCUCGCGAUGUAUUAUACUGCGAUCUUACCCUGAAACAAACGAUUAUCCUCUACAUAGAUAUCGACAAAGCACCUUUACCAUAAGCUGAAACAUACAUCUUAUCAAGAACAUGAAUUAUUGGUUAAAUAUAACUAAUUGGCUGCUGAUGGGGUUACAGCAGACUGACUCUUAUAUCACAAACAUACUUGAGCCCUUUCUUCAACUCAUUCGCAAUUAAGUUUACCACGUUAAUGCAUGGCAGUGCUAAAUAUUAGAAUCGCAAGAUGGUAAUUAAUAUCAAAUUUGUCUUGU